AGAGCACAGGGCGAAUGCCUUGGCAUUAGGAGCCGAAGAAGGACGUGAUAAGCUGCGAAAAGCUGCGGGGAGGCGCAAAUAGCUAUUGAUCCGCAGAUGUCCGAAUGGGGAAACCCGGCUGCAGUAAUAUGCAGUCAACGCAUAGUGAAUAGAUAGCUGUGCGUGGGGAACCGCCUGAACUGAAACAUCUAAGUAGGGCGAGGAAGAGAAAUCAACCGAGAUUCCCUGAGUAGCGGCGAGCGAAAGGGGAAAAGGCCAAACCGGGGUAGUUACUAGUUGCUAGUCAAUAGUUACUAGUACUUAGUAACUACUCCGGGGUUGCGGACUGAGAACGGCAUUGCGGAGGGUAGCAGAACUGCUUGGAAAAGCAAACCAAAGAGGGUGAAAGUCCCGUACGCGAAACUCAAAGCAAGCCAUCAGAAUCCAGAGUACCUAUGGGCACGUGAAAUCCGUAGGGAAGCAGGGGGGACCACCCUCCAAGCCUAAAUACUACCUAAUGACCGAUAGUGAAGCAGUACCGUGAGGGAAAGGUGAAAAGCACCCCGGGAGGGGAGUGAAAGAGAACCUGAAACCCUGUGCUUACAAACUGUCAGAGCGCAUUAAAGCGUGAUGGCGUACUUUUUGUAGAACGGUCCGGCGAGUAUUUGUAUGCAGCAAGGUUAAGGCGUAGUAAGCGCUGCAGCCGAAGGGAAACCGAGUGUUAAUAGCGCGGAUAGUUGCAUGCAAAUGACCCGAAACCCGGUGACCUACCCAUGGACAGGAUGAAGCGAGAGUAAAAUCUCGUGGAGGUCCGAACCCACCACUGUUGAAAAAGUGGGGGAUGAGCUGUGGGUAGCGGAGAAAUUCCAAUCGAACCGGGAUAUAGCUGGUUCUCCUCGAAAUAGCUUUAGGGCUAGCCUUGUAUUAAUGUAGCGGAGGUAAAGCACUGAGUGGGCUAGGGGCCUUCACAGGUUACCGAACUCUAUCAAACUCUGAAUGCCGCAUACAUGAUGUACAGGAGUCAGACUGUGAGAGAUAAGUUUCAUAGUCAAAAGGGAAACAGCCCAGAUCUACAGCUAAGGUCCCUAAAUCGGUUUAAGUGGGAAAGGAUGUCCGGUUGCGCAGACAACUAGGAUGUUGGCUUAGAAGCAGCCACUCAUUUAAAGAGUGCGUAAUAGCUCACUAGUCGAGUGACUGGGCGCCGAAAAUUUAACGGGGCUAAAACCGAUACCGAAGCUUAGGCUUGGAGUUGUCAGUUAUGAGUUAACAGUAAGGAGUAGAAAAAAUAUGGCAGAGUACAGAAAGCUUAAGGUAUAUAAUAAAUUGAUACAAACAUUACUACUGAAAACUGUGAACUGAUAUCUGAUAACUCCAGGGGUAGAGGAGCGUUGUGCUAUAGGAAGAAGCGAUACCGAGAGGAGUCGUGGACGAAGCACAAGAGAGAAUGCCGGAAUGAGUAGCGAGAAUUAUGUGAGAAUCAUAAUGGUCGAAAACCUAAGGUUUCUUGAGGAAGGUUCGUCCACUCAAGGUAAGCCGGGAGCUAAGGCGAGGCCGAAAGGCGUAGUCGAUGCACAUACUGUGGAAAAUCAGUAGCCACCGAAAUUGUCAGCAAAUGGGGACGCAGGAGUAUAGCCUAACCAUGCCGUUGGUCGAGCAUGGCCUGAAAAGGGGAGCGAAAAACAAGUAGCGAAGUAGGCGAUUACACACUGACGAGAAAAGCCAUUUGCCUUUGGAUUAGGUGCCCGUACCGCAAACCGACACAGGUAGGUGAGGAGAGAAUCCUAAGACCAGCGGGAGAAGUGUUGUUAAGGAACUCGGCAAAAUAGCCCCGUAACUUCGGGAGAAGGGGCGCUUAAGGCAACUUAAGCCGCAGAGAAUUGGUCCAAGCGACUGUUUAACAAAAACACAGGUCUAUGCUAAAUCGAAAGAUGAAGUAUAUGGGCUGACGCCUGCCCGGUGCUGGAAGGUUAAGAGGAGGGCUUAGCGCAAGCGAAGGCCUGAAUUGAAGCCCCAGUAAACGGCGGCCGUAACUAUAACGGUCCUAAGGUAGCGAAAUUCCUUGUCAGGUAAGUUCUGACCCGCACGAAUGGCGUAACGGUUUGGACGCUGUCUCAACAGCACGCCCGGUGAAAUUGAAGUACUGGUAAAGAUGCCAGUUACCCGCGACAAGACGGGAAGACCCCAUGGAGCUUUACUGCAGCUUGAUAUUGGAUUUUGGUAUGACAUGUACAGGAUAGGUGGGAGACUUAGAAGCGCGGACGCCAGUUUGCGUGGAGUCAACCUUGGGAUACCACUCUUGUUAUGCUGAAGUUCUAACCAACACCCGUGAAUCCGGGUGGGGGACACUGUCAGGUGGGCAGUUUGACUGGGGCGGUCGCCUCCCAAAAGGUAACGGAGGCGCUCA
rnacentral:rRNA from 1 species